rnacentral:pre_miRNA from 1 species
CAUAGGGUGAAUCUUGGCCCUCCAAAACAAAUCCAACGGCUGAGAUUCGUCCACGUCAUCACGAGUAAAAAUUUUACUCGCAGAUUUACUCAGGAGUAAAAUUCCUGGAGUAAAAGUUUUACUGGGAAUAAAAUUUUUACUCAUGAUGACGUGGACGAAUCUAAGCUGUUGGAUUUGUUUUGGAGGGUCGAGAUUCACCCUAUG